rnacentral:rRNA from 1 species
CAGCAGCCGCGGGAAUACGUAGGGUGCGAGCGUUGUCCGGAAUUACUGGGCGUAAAGGGCUCGUAGGUGGUUUGUCGCGUCGUCUGUGAAAUUCCGGGGCUUAACUCCGGGCGUGCAGGCGAUACGGGCAUAACUUGAGUACUGUAGGGGUAACUGGAAUUCCUGGUGUAGCGGUGAAAUGCGCAGAUAUCAGGAGGAACACCGAUGGCGAAGGCAGGUUACUGGGCAGUUACUGACGCUGAGGAGCGAAAGCAUGGGUAGCGAACAGGAUUAGAGACCCGAGUAGUCCCUGUUUCUUAUA